rnacentral:rRNA from 1 species
GGGCUUCGACCUGGCGGCGAGUGGCGAACGGGUGAGUAAUACAUCGGAACGUAUCCUGGAGUGGGGGAUAGCCCGGCGAAAGCCGGAUUAAUACCGCAUACGCUCUGAGGAGGAAAGCGGGGGACCUUCGGGCCUCGCGCUCAAGGGGCAGCCGAUGGCGGAUUAGGUAGUUGGUGGGGUAAAGGCCUACCAAGCCGACGAUCCGUAGCUGGUCUGAGAGGACGACCAGCCACACUGGGACUGAGACACGGCCCAGACUCCUACGGGAGGCAGCAGUGGGGAAUUUUGGACAAUGGGGGCAACCCUGAUCCAGCAAUGCCGCGUGUGUGAAGAAGGCCUUCGGGUUGUAAAGCACUUUUGUCCGGAAAGAAAUCAUCGGGGCUAAUACCUCUGGUGGAUGACGGUACCGGAAGAAUAAGCACCGGCUAAUUACGUGCCAGCAGCCGCGGUAAUACGUAGGGUGCGAACGUUAAUCGGAAUUACUGGGCGUAAAGCGUGCGCAGGCGGUGCUGUAAGACCGAUGUGAAAUCCCCGGGUUUAACCUGGGAACUGUAUUGGUGACUGCAGCGCUGGAGUAUGGCAGAGGGGGGUGGAAUUCCACGUGUAGCAGUGAAAUGCGUAGAGAUGUGGAGGAACACCGAUGGCGAAGGCAGCCCCCUGGGCCAAUACUGACGCUCAUGCACGAAAGCGUGGGGAGCAAACAGGAUUAAAUACCCUGGUAGUCCACGCCCUAAACGAUGUCAACUGGUUGUUGGGGAUUCAUUUCCUUAGUAACGUAGCUAACGCGUGAAGUUGACCGCCUGGGGAGUACGGUCGCAAGGUUAAAACUCAAAGGAAUUGACGGGGACCCGCACAAGCGGUGGAUGAUGUGGAUUAAUUCGAUGCAACGCGAAAAACCUUACCUACCCUUGACAUGUACGGAACCCUGGUGAGAGCCGGGGGUGCCCGAAAGAGAGCCG